rnacentral:rRNA from 1 species
AUUGAACGCUGGCGGCAUGCUUUACACAUGCAAGUCGAACGGCAGCGCGGGCUUCGGCCUGGCGGCGAGUGGCGAACGGGUGAGUAAUGCAUCGGAACGUGCCCAGUAGUGGGGGAUAGCCCGGCGAAAACCGGAUUAAUACCGCAUACGACCUGAGGGUGAAAGCGGGGGACCGAAAGGCCUCGCGCUAUUGGAGCGGCCGAUGUCGGUUUAGCUAGUUGGUGGGGUAAAGGCUUACCAAGGCGACGAUCCGUAGCUGGUCUGAGAGGACGACCAGCCACACUGGGACUGAGACACGGCCCAGACUCCUACGGGAGGCAGCAGUGGGGAAUUUUGGACAAUGGGGGCAACCCUGAUCCAGCCAUGCCGCGUGCGGGAAGAAGGCCUUCGGGUUGUAAACCGCUUUUGUUCGGGAAGAAAUCCUCUGGGCUAAUACCCCGGGGGGAUGACGGUACCGGAAGAAUAAGCACCGGCUAACUACGUG